rnacentral:rRNA from 1 species
AUGAAGCCGGAAUUGCUAGUAAUGGCAGGUCAGCAUACUGCCGUGAAUACGUUCCCGGGCCUUGUACACACCGCCCGUCACACCAUGAGAGUUGGGAAUACCCGAAGCCUGUGAGCUAACUUUACGAGGCAGCAGUCGAAGGUAGAAUCAAUGAUUGGGGUGAAGUCGUAACAAGGUAUC